AGUCUGGAUGAGGUCUCCAGACCAGUAUAUUUUACUCAAUUCUUGUGGUGGAUAUCACAUUUUAUCCCCAGUAGCAGGAAUUUACAUAUAGUGGGGAUGGCGGCUCUAUGUCGGGCCCUCUGGAAACUUAGGGAUAGAUCUUGUUUCGAUGGAAAGCUUGUGAGAUCGCCUGCUGAAUUCAUCUGUUAUACUUGUUCCUUUCUCCGAUAUUGAGAAGGUCUACAGAAUGAUCAAGAUAAAAAGAUGCUGGAACACGGUGUCACUCAACUGCAAAGAAUAGCGCUGGUGGAGCAUGUGGCGAAUCAGCGUCCUCUCUGCAUUGCGCAUGCUGAUCUUGAAGAUGAGGACAAGAUGCAAGAGGACAAUGAUGAAGAGAAGGACAAGAUGCGAGAUAAUGGGAACUGA
rnacentral:rRNA from 1 species